GCCAGCAGCCAUAUCACCCUGCAACUCACUACUGACAACCCACUGGUGCUCAGCAGGUGUGAGCCUGGUCAGUACCUGGAUGGGAGACUCCUGGGAAAAACUAAAGUUGCUGCUGGAG
rnacentral:rRNA from 1 species